UACGUAGGGUGCGAGCGUUGUCCGGAAUUAUUGGGCGUAAAGAGCUUGUAGGCGGUUUGUCGCGUCUGCUGUGAAAAUCCGGGGCUCAACCCCGGACUUGCAGUGGGUACGGGCAGACUGGAGUGUGGUAGGGGGAGACUGGAAUUCCUGGUGUAGCGGUGGAAUGCGCAGAUAUCAGGAGGAACACCGAUGGCGAAGGCAGGUCUCUGGGCCACUACUGACGCUGAGAAGCGAAAGCAUGGGGAGCGAACAGG
rnacentral:rRNA from 1 species